rnacentral:rRNA from 1 species
AUUGAACGCUGGCGGCAGGCCUAACACAUGCAAGUCGAACGAGUGGCGGACGGGUGAGUAAUGUCUGGGAAACUGCCUGAUGGAGGGGGAUAACUACUGGAAAAGGUAGCUAAUACCGCAUACCAUCGGAUGUGCCCAGAUGGGAUUAGCUUGUAGGUUGGGUAACGGCUCACCUAGGCGACGCACCCUAGCUGGUCUGAGAGGAUGCCCAGCAACACUGGAAAUGAGACACGGUCCAGAAGCCUACGGGAGGCAGCAGUGGGGAAUAUUGAACAAGGGGCGCAAGCCUGAUGCAGCCAGGCCGCGUGUAUGAAGAAGGCCUUAGGGUUGUAAAGUACUUUCAGCGGGGAGGCGUUACCCGCAGAAGAAGCACCGGCUAACUCCGUGCCAGCAGCCGCGGUAAUUC